GGUUACCAUUCAUUCAUCCUGUCCUCUGAUCUGCUGCUGGGUCUUUUCCACAGGAGAGCAGCAGCAGCUCAGCAGGAGCCAGAGCUCCCAGGUCCAGCUUCCUCAGCAGAUGAGAGCCAUCAGCACUAUCGGAGCUUCUGGGCCGCUGGAAGAGCGUCAGGAACUACCUCAUCCUGACGCUCCCUAAAAUGAAUGAGACAAGGCUAAUGAAGCAGUCUCCGCCCCCUGCUCCAGCUGGUCAGUGCCCUGAGCUGGAGGACUGUGGCCUGGAGACCACUGCGGUCAAGAGAGGCUGCAUUUCCACCAAGGCCGCUCAGGUCAGCUGUGCCACCGGUGGGUGGGGUCACAUUUGUAGAUGGAGUUAAUACCUAUAACUGUGGUCGAUGACCUGUACAUGGCCCAUGCAGCCAUGUACAAGUCAUCAGGUCCCAGCAGUGGGUGGGGAACCUGUGUGGAUGGAGUUAA